GAUGAACGCUGGCGGCGUGCCUAAUACAUGCAAGUCGAGCGAACAGACGAGGAGCUUGCUCCUCUGACGUUAGCGGCGGACGGGUGAGUAACACGUGGAUAACCUACCUAUAAGACUGGGAUAACUUCGGGAAACCGGAGCUAAUACCGGAUAAUAUAUUGAACCGCAUGGUUCAAUAGUGAAAGAUGGUUUUGCUGUCACUUAUAGAUGGAUCCGCGCCGCAUUAGCUAGUUGGUAAGGUAACGGCUUACCAAGGCAACGAUGCGUAGCCGACCUGAGAGGGUGAUCGGCCACACUGGAACUGAGACACGGUCCAGACUCCUACGGGAGGCAGCAGUAGGGAAUCUUCCGCAAUGGGUGAAAGCCUGACGGAGCAACGCCGCGUGAGUGAUGAAGGUCUUCGGAUCGUAAAACUCUGUUAUUAGGGAAGAACAAAUGUGUAAGUAACUAUGCACGUCUUGACGGUACCUAAUCAGAAAGCCACGGCUAACUACGUG
rnacentral:rRNA from 1 species